rnacentral:rRNA from 1 species
AUACAGAGGGUGCGAGCGUUAAUCGGAAUUACUGGGCGUAAAGCGCGCGUAGGCGGCUUGGUCAGUCGGAUGUGAAAGCCCUGGGCUCAACCUGGGAAUUGCAUUCGAUACUGCCAAGCUAGAGUAUGGGAGAGGGAAGUGGAAUUUCCGGUGUAGCGGUGAAAUGCGUAGAUAUCGGAAAGAACACCAGUGGCGAAGGCGACUUCCUGGCCCAAUACUGACGCUGAGGUGCGAAAGCGUGGGGAGCGAACAGGAUUAGAAACCCUUGUAGUAC